AGGGAGGGAAAAAAAAUUAAUUUUUUUUUAUUUAUAUAUUCAGUUUUUUUUCUUUCUUUUCUUUCUCUUUCCCCGACUGCCCUCUCUUUCUUCUCUUUCUCUUCUCUCCACGGCAACAACCACCACCACUAAGACCCAACCUCCGGCAACCACCACUAUUGGCAUGUGGCGACUCAUUGGAUUCGCCUUGCUCCGGCGACCUCAACCACCAAGCGGCACCGCCCAUCUCGCUGUAAGUUGUUCGGAAUAGUCUGUCAAAGUUUUGGUCCGUCAACUUUGACUGUGUUUUCCGGCCAACUCCGACCACCACUCGGCAAGUGGUUGGUACCUUUGGAACCAGCAUGAAGAGAGGAACAAAACCCACUAAACCAUUCCAGUCAACUCGCCAUUUUUCUCCGGCGAGAUUUUGGGUAUCUUCGCCCUUUUGGAAGCAUUUUUCGGUGACACCGGAGGUCAUUUGGGCGAAGGAGCUGUACUCCCGUGAUGUACUACUCGAGAGGAUCGUUUUGAUAUAUGCCAUUCAUAUAUUCGUCGACGUUCCCGGUACCGCUAUCAACUGCUAGUGUGCACCGCUUGGGAAAAUCGUGAUAUAUAGAUCCAAUUUAAUUCACUCUAGGAUAAUCGUUAAGCUUGGGAGUGUCGCUUGGGGCUCGGACUGAAAAUUCUUAAGAGGAUCCUAGUGACGCAAAAUUGUGGAUAAGGUGAAUUAUCGCUGAAGCUAAUGUGUUUAGCGCCCUAAUCCUAUCUUUUGAACAUUAUGUAUUUAAUUUGGAACCUAUCGGUCUGUUUAUCUAAGUUAGCUAUGUAAUAGUUAGAAAUGAAGAAUGGUGGAUGCUAAGUAUUAUUUUGGUGUUUUAUGACUUAUUAAAUUUAACUGUUUGGUGACUAUAUAACUGUGGGGAUAUUAUUGUUCUAUGUAUUAAGAUAAACGAUCAUACUUUUAUC